rnacentral:rRNA from 1 species
GACGAACGCUGGCGGCGUGCUUAACACAUGCAAGUCGAACGGAAAGGCCUGCUUUCCCUUGUGGAUUGCGGGUGCUCGAGUGGCGAACGGGUGAGUAACACGUGAGUGAUCUGCCCCCAACUUGGGUAUAAGCCUGGGAAACUGGGUCUAAUUCCCGAUAGGACUGCAGGGUGGUGCCUGUGGUGGAAAACGAUUUUCUAGUGGUUGGGGAUGAGCUCGCGGCCUAUCAGCUUGUUGGUGGGGUAAUGGCCUACCAAGGCGGCGACGGGUAGCCGGCCUGGGGGGGGGGGCGCCGAGAGUGGGACGGGUUCCCGGCCCCGACGCCAGGGGGCGGAGGGGGGGGGGAUGCUAGAAGAGGGGGGGGGAGCUUGACGCAGCGACGCCGGGGGGGGGGUGCCGGCGUUGGGUUGAAAACCUCCUGUGGAGGGGGAGGAGGCCCCGUGUGUGGAGGGGGGGUGAGGGGAGUGAAAGAAGAAGCCCCGGCUAAAUCGGUG